AUAGCUUCUCAGACUUUUGGCUAAGAUCAAGUGUAGUAUCUUAUCUUAUCAGUUUAAUAUCUGAUACAUCCUCUAUCCGGAUAGCCAUACCUGCCAUUUACUCCAAUUACCAGGUCUGUGAAACUCUGGGGAAAGUGAAGUCAUA
rnacentral:snRNA from 1 species